rnacentral:rRNA from 1 species
GCAACGAGCGCAACCCUUGUCCCGUGUUGCCAGCAGGCCCUUGUGGUGCUGGGGACUCACGGGAGACCGCCGGGGUCAACUCGGAGGAAGGUGGGGACGACGUCAAGUCAUCAUGCCCCUUAUGUCUUGGGCUGCACACGUGCUACAAUGGCCGGUACAAAGAGCUGCGAUACCGUGAGGUGGAGCGAAUCUCAAAAAGCCGGUCUCAGUUCGGAUUGGGGUCUGCAACUCGACCCCAUGAAGUCGGAGUCGCUAGUAAUCGCAGAUCAGCAUUGCUGCGGUGAAUACGUUCCCGGGCCUUGUACACACCGCCCGUCACGUCACGAAAGUCGGUAACACCCGAAGCCGGUGGCCCAACCCCUUGUGGGAGGGAGCUGUCGAAGGUGGGACUGGCGAUUGGGACGAAGUCGUAACAAGGUAGCCGUACCGGAAGGUGCGGCUGGAUCACCUCCUUUCUA